rnacentral:rRNA from 1 species
AUAAGGGCGCACGGUGGAUGCCUUGGCACUAGGAGCCGAUGAAGGACGGGACUAACACCGAUAUGCUUUGGGGAGCUGUACGUAAGCUAUGAUCCAGAGAUUUCCGAAUGGGGGAACCCAACAUCUUUAAUAGGAUGUUACGAUUGUGUGAAUACAUAGCACAUUCGAGGUAGACGCAGAGAACUGAAACAUCUAAGUACCUGCAGGAAGAGAAAGAAAAUUCGAUUCCCUGAGUAGCGGCGAGCGAAACGGGAAAAGCCCAAACCAGCAAGCUUGCUUGUUGGGGUUGUAGGACUCCAAUAUGGUAGUUCUUUCAGAUAGUCGAAUGACUUGGAAAAGUCAGUCAAAGAGGGUAAAAACCCCGUAGACGAAAUGUGGAAGACACCUAGGAGGAUCCUGAGUACGGCGGAACACGAGAAAUUCCGUCGGAAUCCGGGAGGACCAUCUCCCAAGGCUAAAUACUCCCUAGUGACCGAUAGUGAACCAGUACCGUGAGGGAAAGGUGAAAAGCACCCCGGAAGGGGAGUGAAAUAGAACCUGAAACCGUGUGCCUACAACAAGUCAAAGCCCGUUAAUGGGUGAUGGCGUGCCUUUUGUAGAAUGAACCGGCGAGUUACGAUUGCAUGCGAGGUUAAGUUGAAGAGACGGAGCCGCAGCGAAAGCGAGUCUGAAUAGGGCGUUUGAGUAUGUAGUCGUAGACCCGAAACCAUGUGAUCUACCCAUGUCCAGGUUGAAGGUGCGGUAAAACGCACUGGAGGACCGAACCCACGUACGUUGAAAAGUGCGGGGAUGAGGUGUGGGUAGCGGAGAAAUUCCAAACGAACUUGGAGAUAGCUGGUUCUCUCCGAAAUAGCUUUAGGGCUAGCCUCGGAAUUGAGAAUGAUGGAGGUAGAGCACUGUUUGGACUAGGGGCCCAUCUCGGGUUACCGAAUUCAGAUAAACUCCGAAUGCCAUUCAUUCAUAUCCGGGAGUCAGACUGUGAGUGAUAAGAUCCAUAGUCGAAAGGGAAACAGCCCAGACCACCAGCUAAGGUCCCAAAAUAUAUGUUAAGUGGAAAAGGAUGUGGGGUUGCACAGACAACUAGGAUGUUGGCUUAGAAGCAGCCACCAUUUAAAGAGUGCGUAAUAGCUCACUAGUCGAGUGACCCUGCGCCGAAAAUGUACCGGGGCUAAACAUAUUACCGAAGCUGUGGAGUACACCUUUAGGUGUAUUGGUAGGAGAGCGUUCUAAGGGCGUUGAAGGCAGAUCGUGAGGACUG